GCAUUCUAUUAGGUUGGUGCAAAAGUAAUUGCGGUUUUUGCCAUUACUUUCAAUAGCAAAAACUGCAAUUACUUUUGCACCAACCUAAUACU
rnacentral:pre_miRNA from 2 species